CUCCGUUUGGGGUCCCUGACUUCCCGCAACACCACACCCUGCAAAGUUUUGUAUUUUUAGUAGAGAUGGGUUUUCACCAUGUUGGCCAGGCUGGUCUCAAGCUCCUGGCCUCAAGUGAUCCACUCACCUUGGCCUCUCAAAGUGCAGGGAUUACAGGUGUGAGCCACCAUGCCCAGCCUGGAGCCGAACUUAUUAUCUGUGGAAUGAAACUAAGAUCUGGUACCCUGAACAAUAAUAAUUCUCUAACAAAACAAUCAUAGGAUGAUCGAUGGAGAAAGGAUAUAGAGAUUGCCCAGCCUUCUGGCUUAAGUAAACACAACUGGGGGGAUCUUCAACCAGGGUUUAAGGACCAUUAAGGAUACAGAAGGGCUUUGGAGACCCCACUGGGCCUGCUAGCCAGCAGACCCUGAGUACACUGAGAUGUCUCAAGUCUGCUGGCUAAAGGUUGCCUCCCCUUCAGCUCAUCAUCUAGCUGGCCAGGGGUUCCAACCCUGGCCUCAUUGUUUGGGCGCCUGUGGUUUGGGGGAGAGGCUGAAGGGAGCAGUAUAUAGCCUAUCAGGGAAGCAGCAAAAAACAAAACAAAACAAAACAAAGCAAAACAAAAACUCCAUGUCAUCCCAUCACCUGCUUUUUUUAUUUUUAUUUUUUGAGAUGGAGUCUUGGUUUGUUGCCUAGGCUGGAGUGCAGUGGCACGAUCUCGGCUCACUGCAAACUCCGCCUCCCGGAUACAAACAAUUCUCCUGCCUCAGCCUCCUGAGUAGCUGGCAUUACAGGGGCCUGCCACCACGCCUGGCUAAUUUUUCUAUUUUUAGUAGACACAGAGUUUCACCGUGUUGACCAUGCUGGUCUCAAACUCCUGACCUCAAGUGAUCCCAUCAACCGCUUUUCUCCAUCAGCAUCUUUGCAUGUCUCCCCUGAUCCCCAUUUCAAUGUACUACAGUAGAAAGAACAGGAUUUCGGAGUCGAACUGACUGCUAGAUCCUUCAUUUAUUUACCCGCUGAGCAAUUUAUUUUAUCUUUCUGAAAAUCAGAAUAAUAAAUUGUCUUUUAAAAUUGUGAUUAUUAAAUGAACAAAAGGUGUCAAAGUAUUCAGCACAGAGGCUGGCACAUAAGAUGAGCUCAAUAGGCCGGGCGCGGUGGCACACAAUGGCUUUAUUCAAAUAAGCAAUCUGAAUUCUGGACUUUGGAAUUCUGAAACUCCUACCAAUGAAAGCGGACAUAGGACAUAGUGAGGUUCUCCAGCCUCCCCUGUCACCAGAGAUGCAAGACAGUUACCUGCAAUAUACCUUGUCCUCAAGAUGGAGUAUUGGGAGCUCUGGGUGAAACCUCUGAAACAUCAGUCUCCCAGCCACUGUCUCCACAUAACCCGGUGCUCUGUUCCCAUGGCUCCUAAAUUCUUCAGCUCUGCCCUGCUUAGACCCCGCCCUCUCUCCCUGCUGCCCACUGCCCGCCCUCAGGAAUAGCGUCACAUGCACCUGCAGCUUGGGAACCUGAUCUAGGUGAAGCGGGUGGGGGAGGAAGCCCUGGGCGCCUUUGUCUGGCUUUAGCUAGACACUUCUCAUCUCCUUUUGUGUUGGCAGGGAAUGUAUCCCAGUCCUCUGCCAUUGACCUCAGGAAACGGUGAGUGUGGGGGACUCAGAAUCCUUCAAAAGCCUCUAUAGGGGAACAGCAAUAGGGUCUAGGCUAUGGUUUUGUAGCCCCAGUGGGUUCCCUGCUUCCUGAAUCAUUCCUC
rnacentral:lncRNA from 1 species